UGGGGAAUAUUGGACAAUGGGCGGAAGCCUGAUCCAGCAAUACCGCGUGUGUGAAGAAGGCCUUCGGGUUGUAAAGCACUUUUGUUAGGGAGGAUGGGAGUUUAGGUUAAUACCCUAAGCUUUUGACGUUACCUAAAGAAUAAGCACCGGCUAACUCCGUGCCAGCAGCCGCGGUAAUACGGGGGGUGCAAGCGUUAAUCGGAAUUACUGGGCGUAAAGGGCGCGUAGGCGGUACCUUAAGUUAGAUGUGAAAGCCCCGGGCUCAACCUGGGAAUUGCAUUUAAUACUGGGGUGCUAGAGUGUGGUAGAGAGUAGCGGAAUUUCUGGUGUAGCGGUGAAAUGCGUAGAUAUCAGAAGGAACAUCAAUGGCGAAGGCAGCUGCUUGGGCCAACACUGACGCUGAGGCGCGAAAGCGUGGGGAGCAAACA
rnacentral:rRNA from 1 species